GCUUUACAGAUGUGCUCAAUGUUACAGAGUUCUGUAAAUCAAUGGCAUCGGGUGGAUGUGUCUUUAGACAAACUACACUUACAGGGGAAACGACUCAAGAUACUCAAUCAGUGGAUGACUCAAAUAACCUUACUCAUGUUGUUAAUACAGAUGAUUUCACUAGACUUAAGAAAGGUCGU